CGAAAACUUCCCUUAUAUCUCCAGAGACUGAGGGUGACAAUGGCAACCUUUUGAAAACUGUGACAGUAGGAGGAAAAAACAUGAUCUACAUAAUUCCACGUCAGGAGAAAACUGAUAUGUCUCCUCUUCCUCUGGAUGCUCUAGAACUUCAAAGCAUCAUGGGAAGUUUGCAGUGUUACCUUGCAGUUGCAAGUCUUGGCUGUCCGUGUAAAAUCAUGUGUUGACCUCAGAUCUUCAAGAGACGACUUUGAAAUUUCAAAGGAGCAGUGCUGGUGAAGGUACCCCAGUGGCGUCAACAUCAAGUACAAAUGAUGCCUGGAACACAUCUGAAAUGGUUGCAGGUAUUGAGAGGUCUUCUUCUUGAAGGGAUUUCAUGGCUGCGCACCAAAGUAUUUCCUGUCUGAUUUGGACAGAGGUCAUUUCAGGACUAUUGGAGAAAUAAUUGCUGUCAGUUUGGCUCCAGGGGGACCAGCUCCAAACUUAAUGAUGCCUUGGUGCUACAAAGUCUUGUGCUCUGGAUCCCUUGAAUUUGAAAGCAGGGACAAAAAUGAUGUGGCAG